CCCGGGACAUGGGACAUGGAGGUUGCAGUAAGCUGAGAACACACCACUGCACUCUGGCCUGGGGGACACAGCAAGACUCCAUCUUAAAAAGAAAAGAAAAAGGAAAUUAAAGAAAAGAAAAGAAAAAGGGGAGGGGAGGGGAACAAAUGUUGCUACUAUUAUUCUCCUCAUCAAGACUUCAUACUGGUAAACAUCCCCUUGCUGACUUCAGGCACAUCAGUGUACACGUCAGAAAUGUCCAAACCAUGUCCUCGGAAUAUGCCCAUUUCUAGCGAUGUUGUAACACCUUACAGGACCAUCAUCAAAAGUUUCAUUC
rnacentral:lncRNA from 10 species